rnacentral:lncRNA from 1 species
CUUCUUCUGGUUUUUGUAUUUCCCUUUUCCCGGGUCAGUCAGGCUAUGAUAAAACCCCAACAGGUUAGGCUGGGGCUAAAUAGUUUCUCCUGCGGGCGAACCUUGUUAAUAAGAAUAGGAUGCACCUGUGUAUUUCAGAUUGGUUCCUUUUCCCCUCCUCCUGCUGGAAGCCGGAGAGGAUUUUCCUCCCACGUUCACUAUGACCUGGUUGAGCAGCUAGAGGAUCCAACUACUGCUGGAGACCAAACAGCCAGGAAGUGGCAAUGCUGGGACUUGAACAGAGGCCAUUGCCCACACUUGGUGGAUGCCCUGUGCAAAUGCUCACCUUUGAGAUGCUAUUGAGAUGAACUUAAUGGAGUAAAAGCAGUUUAAAUUCACAAUGCUGAAGAAAAGGGAUUGAUGACCCAGGAAAAAAAUUCAGCCUUCUUAAGAUAUUCUGAAAGAAAAUUGAGGACUAGUGACUGGUGAAGUCAAAGCUGGAGGCCAGGUUUGUUUAGCCUGUGAAGUUUAGAAUUUGCAGGAGAGCAUAAUUCAUCUUAGUGGGAAGAGAGACCUCUGGCUGCUUUCCUCUCUUUGAAGAGCCUGGCCUGAGGGAGAAGAGAAAGAAGGAAUCCGCAUUCCACCAGUUCUCCUGUGGCGACUGAAAAAUGAAGCUUGGUCAUCAGGAGGCGAAGUUUACUUCCACAGGACCAUGGGACUAGAGCUGAAGUGUCUAGGAAUCGUGUGGGGAGCUGGUUACCUUCCGAGACUGGUUCGUGGUGUCUUUGGAGGGACCUAAGUGAUUCUGGAACUACACUUUGACCAUCACUGAUUGACAGAGCUCAACAUCCUGAUUCUCAUUUUAGAGGACAAAGAACCCUAAAAAUAUGCAACUUAGGCUCAGGGUUGGGGUGGGGUGAAAAAAUACAAAAGCAUGGUGGAGCUUGGGAAGGGAGAGAAGGUUAGGCGAAUGGGUAUUUAAACAAACUAAGAAAGAACAGUGUGCCAGAAAAUGCACGGAACCCCAGGAGAGCAGCAGAAUGCUACGUGAGAGUUAUAUGAGCAAGAGAUAGUGUGUAGGGGAGAGAUGCUUUGGAAGAGUAGACUCAAAGGAGCUUGGCAAAGAAAACAUUCAGGAGACUGUGCUGGCAAAGCUCUGGGACUGUAACAGAUGGCACUUGAGAAACAUAAAAGCAUUCUACAAGCCCUGCCAUAUACACACAAGACAAUGAUAGAAGACUAAGAUGGAUCCAAAGACACUGCAUCCGCCAUUCCUGCCUGGAGAUUGUGUGCUAACACUGGGGCUGACCCAGCCUUGGUGGGCCUGGAAUGUA